rnacentral:rRNA from 1 species
UGGGGGAAUAUUGAGCAAUAAGACGUACGUGUACGUCGAUGAGAGUACAUCACGAAUAAGCAUCGGCUAACUCCGUGCCAGCAGCCGCGGUAAUACGGAGGAUGCAAGCGUUAUCCGGAUUAUUGGGUUUAAAGGGUGCGUAGGCUGUGUAGCAAGUCAGUGGUGAAAGCCCGGUGCUCAACACCGGAACUGCCAUUGAUACUGUUGCGCUGGAAUACGGAUGCCGUGGGAGGAAUGAGUAGUGUAGCGGUGAAAUGCAUAGAUAUUACUCAGAACACCGAUUGCGAAGGCAUCUCACGAAUCCGUCAUUGACGCUGAGGCACGAAAGCGUGGGGAUCAAACAGGAUUAGAUACCCUGGUAGU